UUAAACAGGAAUGCUUAGAUUGUUGGA
rnacentral:sRNA from 1 species